GGUCAGCCAUCUCUUCUUCGUUCGUUACCAAACUCCGGUUGCAUUGUGGGAUAGCGUAGUGAACCCCGUUGUUUACUGUGGUGGUAGCACGCGGUCGGACGCGCUAUAUUUGUGGCGUACUACAAAAUGCAUACUUUAUAGCAGUCAAGUGUGAGUAUUCGGAUUCAAAGCUACCAAAUGAAGAAAGGCUAAAUGUACAUAUUCCAUCUAUUUAAAUGUGUGGAUUGAAUAUUGAAUUGGUAGCUGUGUGACCUGUAUUCCAUUUUACAUCUGAAAUGUUUUGUAAAGACAUGUGCUACUAGACUUGUAACUGUGGAAUAGUCACCAGAAAGUAAAAACAGGCACCAUGGGAUUGCCAACUCCAUAUGCAUUUAUUUAAAACUUGCACAUUGAUGGCAAAGUGCUUAGCAGAAACGGUUCUCUAAUUUGCAUUUAAACAUUACAUUGAAGAUGAAGAACAGUUUAUUGAACCAUUGCAGUGUAAGAAAAAAGAACGAGCUAGUGGAGCAUUAGGAAAUGCGAACGUAAUAUAUAAAAAUAAUGUAUACAAAAGUGUAGCAUUAACAAACUGCUUUAUCAUUGCCCCUACAACUUAACAAACAAAUAACAUUUAAUUUUACCACUAUUUUGCUGUAGGGGGGAGAAUCAGUGUGUGCCGUCUUGAUUUGAGCCUUGCAAAUUCGUCAAUGACCUCAUCCUCAGUGAUAUCUCCAACCAGCUCUCUUUCUAUUGACAGUACUGCCAAUUCAUUGAGCCUCUCCUGGCCCAUAGUGGACCUAAGCCACGUAUGAAGUCGGCGUAGAGCACUAAAGGACCGCUCACAGCUGCAACUGCUGACAGGGAUAGUCAGUGCCACCUGCAAGAUGGCCCUCAGUGACGGGAACAUCAUAGAGUCCAGGAGCUUGAAGACACUGAGGGUGUCCGGGAUGGAAUCUGGAUCCUUCCUGCUCAGGAAGCUCUUUGCCACCAAGACCUCUUCUGGGACCAGCUGUAUGUGGUAGUGUGUAGCCAGUUUCUCCAGUGACUGCAGACAGAGGAAGGAUUUGGAGGCUGGGUGGCAUGCCUGGAUUCCAUCCAUUAGCUCUCCCGCAACAGUGGAAAACCGGUGGCCCAGUUCAUUGAUCAUCCGAUCAAUGCACGGGAAGAAAAGCCCCUGCUUCAGACACUCUGAGUCGUUAAGCAGGUCAGAGCCCGACCCAGUAGACGCCUCCACAACAAAAUCAUCCAUUCUCCUCUGCUUUCUCCUUGGAGCAGGAGAGGGCUCGGGAAGGUUGUGAUCAGAGCAGAGCUGCUUUGUGACCUCAUAGAGUUCCUCAGCCACCUGUUCAGUUCUUUGACUGACCAAGGUGUCGUGGAUGGCACUCUUGAAUUGGACUGCCCUUGCAAGGUCAAUGGAUGUCCCCUGCAGGAACCUGUGGAAACCCUCUGUGAUACCCAAAAGCCUUUGGAUAACCACCAGUAAAUAUACUGUUGUCCUCUUUGACAAUUUAGAGAGAAGCCCCACUGCUAUUGGUGUAUUCAGCAUCUGCAGACUAGCAAUUACUGCAGGGAAAUUCCUCAAAAGGGCAUUUAUUGAGUUGACCUGGCAUGACCAUCGCGUUGAGGAUAUCUGGACCAGUUCACGCCGCUCAAUGUUCAGCUCUUUCUGCACAGCCACCAACUGAUCAUGGCUUUUGAUCGAGGUGCUGAAACAGGAAUACAGGCUUUCCAGCAUGUCAAAAAAAAAGCUUGCUUCCGGAAUAGCCUUGCAAGUAUGACAGAGCACCAAGUUCAGCUCAUGUGCAUAGCAGUGCACGUAGAUGGCCUCAGGGUGUUUUUCACGGAAACGAGUUUGCACGCCUCGCACUGACCCGCUCAUCACCGCUGCGCCAUCAUAUGACUGGGCAACAACUUUGAGACCGUCGAUGCCAUGUGAUCCCAGGACCUCCUCAAGGGCAUUUGUUAUGCUCUCCGCGUCAUACCCUCCCAGUCUUCUCAAACAAAGGAAUCGCUCCCUUAUGCGUUCCUGAAAGACGUAACGGACACAAACAGCAAGCUGCUCAGUGUUUCCAUCCUUGGCCUCAUCAGCCAUGAUGGAAAACAUUUUAGCUUCCCUCACCUCAUCCCUUAUCCUUGAUGUGAGCAGUGACGAGGAACACUUAAUGAAGUCAUUUUGGGAGGAAGGUGAAAGAUAGGUGGCAUUAGCAGGAGCAUUAUACUGUUGCAGGAAGGGAUCAAAUUUGGACAACAGCUGAACGCAUUCAAGUAAGUUUCCUUGGUUGGAGCUGCCCUCACCCUCGCAGUGCCCCCUGAAUGCAAUGCCUUGCUUGGCCAAGAAGAGCAUCACAGAAACAACGCGAUGGAGAUACAGUCUUCUUUCUUUGAUCUCCGCUGCACUAGCAGCAAGUAUUUGCUCGGUUACAUCCCCAUGGACCUUGGUUGCCUUUUAACCUAUCCAGGCCAUCAUGGAAGCCUUGUGAAGAGCCGUCUUCUCAUGUUCCCUAAAAGAAUCAAGAGCCCUCUUCCAAUUACAAUAGCCAGUGGUGGCCAGGCCAUCUUUAUUUGCCCUCUUCUCCGGUUUGCUGAACACCCGACAGCAAAAACAUAAGGCAGCAUUUUUGGCUACAGAAUAUUCAAGCCAGUUGAAUGAUUCGUACCAGAUCUUUUGGAAUGACCUCUUCUGGAGUCCAAAAUAGGUAGAUGGGAAGUUGAUGUCUUUCACCUGCUUCGGACCUGUGUCUGGACUUCCUAAUGUGCCCUCUCCUGUCCUUCCCUCAUCACUCCUCUCUGGCUCAUCUGUGAUGCAACAAAAUUAAGAAGCAAAGUAAGCACCUCUCCUCCAUUUAUAUACUAUUAAACCUUCUUAAAUAUUUGUUAUUCUAUGUCUAAUCUAAUCACCUUCAUUUUCUUGUUUUAGAAGCUGACACUCGGACAGUCUAUGCUGUGAUAGUAGCACUUCUAAAGGUAGAGGAGCCAUGUCAGGUAACCUUUUGACCCAGAAAAUAUACACAACUAGCUGUGCAAAAUAGACAUUUUGGUGAGGAUCUCGGAGGUGACCAUGUGAGAACAAAAAAAAUGACGACAGGUCCAACAAACAGGAUUUUAGGACCAAGACAGUCAAUGGUGCCUCGUCUUUGAACCAUGACGGUCAACAUGACACUGUUGGCCGCUUGAGGACAACACUCCCCGUAACUGAAAAUGUACAAAGGUGAAAAUGUACAUGUAAUGUGCUCUAGAUAGAUGGACGCUUUACGGGCUAAUUCAAUUUGGCCCUCCAAUCUUCGUGUUUCUGCCUAAUCCAUCCAUACAGUUAAGUGCAAGAUGCACACACCCAGGUGCUUGCCUGGUAAAGAAAAACUAAUCAGAGGGAAACAAAAGAAAGACCUGCACACAUUCUAAAAACCUCCCACAAAUCUUAAUUUCACAACAUUUCCAUCAGGAUCUCAUUUGCUCUGUGAUUUUAAGGAAGAUCCUAAGUGAUUGAAAUGUUAGGAUUUGUGGGAGCAGCAAGAAUGUGUGCAGGUCUUUCUUUUUCUUCUUUCUUAUUCUUAAAACUCUGCCUCUUGAUCUCAAGCAGGCGUGUGUUGAAUGAUACAAUGAAUGUGAUUGUGAAUGUUACAAUACGUUGUGUUGCUUUAGAUCACUGAAGCUUAAUUUAAAUAAUGA